rnacentral:rRNA from 1 species
UGCCAGCAGCCGCGGUAAUACGGAGGGGGUUAGCGUUGUUCGGAAUUACUGGGCGUAAAGCGCACGUAGGCGGACUGGAAAGUAUGGGGUGAAAUCCCAGGGCUCAACCCUGGAACUGCCUCAUAAACUAUCAGUCUAGAGUUCGAGAGAGGUGAGUGGAAUUCCGAGUGUAGAGGUGAAAUUCGUAGAUAUUCGGAGGAACACCAGUGGCGAAGGCGGAUCUCUGGGGAUGUACUGACGCUCAGGGUCGAAAGCAUGGGGAGCAAACAGGAUUAGAUA